CACCGCCGGAGUUCAGCCGCGCUUCCCUCCAUCGCGCCUACAUACCUCGUCGCCGGCCGUCCCCAACCUCCUACGCUACCACAUCUCAACCUCCAUCCACCGCAAGCCAGCAUCCCCAACCUUCUGUGACGGCGCCGACACAUCUCUGCUCUGGCCAAGUUCCUGCACCGGCAGAUCCGUCCGCCAUGCCGUCGGUUUCCCCACCACCUGCCAGUUACAGCCCCCUUUGAGUUCCCUCACCCCCGGCCGCGCGCCCAGGAUCCGUGCCUCCCUUAUCGGCAAUUUUCUCGCCCCACCAUGGCCGCCCGGCGCAGCUCCCUCCCUGCUGCAAUUCCACCUUCACCUCGCCUGCACCUGUUCCAUCUAGAACCGCACCGUGAGUGUGAGGCCCGGCCACCACCACAGAUGCUCCAAUAAAUUGAUUUCUCUCAGCCCUGCUCACAACUCCCUUACGCGCGCCCAAAAUUCCUGCCUCCCGCACUUGUACUUUCCUAACAACAACGUCUGCACUUAGCUGCAGAGAAUAGAUGCAAGAGGAAUUGUUCUCAACCAGGAGCACAGGAAAGGCAGGUCGAAGCAGCAUAGGUUUGAGCACGAUCAGCCGCAGCCCAAGGAAUAGAUCACAAGUUUCACAACUUAUUUGCUGCUUCCGCAUGUAAUUAAAUGUGAUGUGCGUCCAACGAAUGUAAUUUGAUGCAUCCUGUAUUCACUCGCAUGCGUAAGUUUGUGUGCGCAUAGCCUGUUUGUGACAAUGCCUAAUAGGUUGAGAAUAGAAGCACGUUCACCUUUAUUUGGCCUUGGCAUCGCUAACUUAUAGCUUAUUGUUGUCUUCCAUCUAGAUGCGAGAAUAGACACACAUGUUAUUUCUUAUUUGCAUAUUUAGUUCCCCAUCAAUUUGUCCCUAUUUAUAACAAUCAGUAUAGCAUAUAGUAGAGGGGCUGCUAGUGCUUUUGUUUAUUUUAUCUGGUUGAAUUCCUUAACUAUGCUCCUCCCUCUAUUUCUAGAAAAAUCUGCUCAAUUUUACAUAGCAGUGGACUUAUGUGCGGCGGAAGCUUUAGGCACGCGCCGCCGCCGAAUCGAUCCGAUGGAGGCGCCUAGGAAGACCCUGGGCUUGGAGCUCCACAAGGAUCCGGGCACGGUCCAGCCGAUGCUGCAGGUAGAGGACGUGCGCAGUCAAGGGCGCGGCGGGAGCGGAGCAGUCGGAGCGCUUCCGGAUGCUGGUCUCUGACGGCGCCCACUCUCUGUAGACCAUGCUCUCCAUGACUCCACCGACCUCAACCGCCUUGUCACGGACGGCUCCCUCCGCCACAGGUCGAUCGUCCACCUUCUGCAUAUCAUGUGAAGCGACAUCAGGGCCGCAGCAGAAUAAAAAGCUCAAGGAUGUGGAGAUUUGUUUUCUCAUCGUUUAUGGAACCAUUUCUAUUUGGCUUUGUAAAAAAUCUAGCGAGUAAGCACUUAUUUGAACCUGUGGCAUAUUAUCUAUCGGUGAGUAAACACGAUGGUUGAUGCACCGAGUUGCAGAAGCAAAAGAUUGCUUCAUAACAACAUGAGCCGACAGGGUGGACAAGAAUCUUCAAAGUUAUCUUUAUGCGCCAACUGGUCCAUUUUAAGUUUUCAUUCUCUAGUACUCUAGUAUGUGGUUCACUGAAUAUUAACCAUAAGUACAGUUCAGGUUUCGAAAGCACCAUAAGUGUUGCUGCUACUCAGCGAUGACGAGUAUGGAUUUCAGAAGAAGCUGCUAUCCUGGAGCUUUUGCUCCUUCUGCUGACCACGAUGGCCUCCUCGCCGCCUCCAUGAGGGCCGCGACCUCCCCAGGUCUCCUCCACCGCCGGCAAGAGCUGCCCCUGCUCCCAAUCGACGGGGCACGUGCCGCUCGGCCCUGCCACGGUCCCCUAUCACCGAUUCCUCGCCGUAGGAAGGCCCAACGCCGAUUGGGAGCCCCGGGGAACAGCGCAGUUCUGUCAAGAAGCAGUUCAGUUUAUUGUAAGUAAAAUACAGGAAGAGCAGCUGGUCUGCAGGUCCAACACACGUAUAGAAAAUCGGUAAGGGAAAAAAAUCAGAUGAAAAACAAUAGAUGUUCAGAGGCACAUGGGUGAGAAAAGUAAAGUAUACAUGUAUAGGCAGUGCAAGUUGGUGCAUGUGGAAAGUUCAUGUGCUAGCCUUUUUACAGGAGAACACACAAAGUAUACUACACACAGUUUUCCUUUUUCUUUUUACGAAGUACAGGUUAUCAAAAUAAGGAAGCACAAAAACGUCAUUCAAUAAGUA